CAGUCGCCGCGGGAACACGGAGGGUGCGAGCGUUAAUCGGAGUAACUGGGCGUAAAGGGCACGCAGGCGGUGACUUAAGUGAGGUGUGAAAGCCCCGGGCUUAACCUGGGAAUUGCAUUUCAUACUGGGUCGCUAGAGUACUUUAGGGAGGGGUAGAAUUCCACGUGUAGCGGUGAAAUGCGUAGAGAUGUGGAGGAAUACCGAAGGCGAAGGCAGCCCCUUGGGAAUGUACUGACGCUCAUGUGCGAAAGCGUGGGGAGCAAACAGGAUUAGAUACCCCUGUAGUCCCUGUCUCUUAUAC
rnacentral:rRNA from 1 species